AGGAUUGUGAAAUACAUGUUAUAACUAUUUGGUUUUAAUAUCAUCACCUAUUGAGGAUAGUCAGAACUGCACACUUCCCGAUUAUUCCAUACAAAACAACUGCGCACAUUUCGCUCUCUAUCAUAGAGCAAGUAACUGCAUGCUUUUCGUGAUCAGUAAACAUCAAUGAUCAUGUCAUUUAAGAUGGGUGAAGACACCUAUCCAUUUGACCUGUAGCUAGCAAACAACAGAAUUUAGUUUGCUUCAUCCGAGAUUAGGUUUUUGGGAAGAGUUUAACAUCGGCAAGUCCUCGUCCUAGUAAAGUUGUCGGACUACUGUCAUCACCGCUAUAGAUGGCAAGCAAAUCAAACAAUAUUUGGAUAUAGCCAUCUAGUUUAUCCCCUGAAAGUUUGCUUGUUAACACCCGUUCUGCCAGUCACAUUCUGUUAAAGGUUCAUUUUGUUAAUGUUACAUUCUGUUAAAGGUCCCCAAAGCACACACACAUCCCUGGGUCGCUCCUCUUUUCAGUUCGCUGCAGCUAGCGACUGGAACGAGCUGCAACAAACACUCAAACUGGACAGUUUUAUCUCCAUCUCUUCAUUCAAAGACUCAAUCGUGGACACUCCUACUGACAGUUGUGGCUGCUUUGCGUGGUGUAUUGUUGUCUCUACCUUCUUGACCUUUGUGCGGUUGUCUGUGCCCCGUAAUGUUUGUACCAUGUUGUGCUGCUACCAUGUUGUUGUCAUGUGUUGCUGCUGUGCUAUAUUGUUGUCUUAGGUCUCUCUUUAAGGAGUGUUGUCUCUCUUGUCGCGAUGUGUGUUUUGUCCUAUAUUUUUAUUUAAUUUAUUUUUAAUCCCAGCCCGGUCCCAGCAGGAGGCCUUUUGUCUUUUGGUAGGUCUUCGUUGUAAAUAAGAAUUUGUUCUUAACUGACUUUCCUAGUUAAAUAAAGAUUAAAUUAAAUAAAACAAAUUGACAUGAUGUUAUUAGCUAGCUAGCCAAUUUUACGUAGUCCAUCAAUCAGUCAAUGUAGCCUGUCUGUCAGCAGAAAUCCUAAUUAAACACUCUUAAAAACAAUAUUGAAAUUGGGAUCAUGUUAGCUAACUUCGUUAGGUAGGCCUACAUUGGUUGGAGAAACAAAUGACACUAGGUUUACUUACCACUAUAUGUUUAGCCAACUGUACAAAGUUUCUACCGGUAUCUUGCAAAGUAAACAUAACCCGUUAUUACGGCUCGUUUUCACUAGCAAGCGGUACAUUACGGUGUUCCGGUUCGGCCGCAGAGAGAGGCUCGUUUGUGGGCAGCAUAUAGCAGCACGGUUUGAAUGUGGGUCAAGAAUCCAGCAUAGCAAGUUUGUAUGAAGGUCUAGAUAUUAAAUUGGUAAAUAAUAAUAUGCUCUAAAACGCUCUGGUGAUAAACAAACUUUGCUGCCCUGUUUCUAAUCGUCCACAUGGCUGGGAGAACCUAUUCAAGUAGGUAAAUAUAUUUAGAAAAUGUUAAAAAAAAACUUUUUUUAAAACGAUGUAUUAUUAGCUAACUAGCUACAGUGCAGGCUUACUCAAAUGAGCUGCUAACAUGGCUAGCUAGCUAUCUAGCCAACUUUACAUACUGUAUAGAUAGCUAGCUAAGUGAAUUAAAUAUCACCAGCUACCUAACUUCAUAUUAUCUAGCUAUCUUGAUGUAUUUAUCACUGUAAAAACAACUCUAAAUGCAUUUGUAGGUAGCUAGCUAACAGCUAUGGAGGUAGGUGAUAGCUGCCCCAACUGUCAAAGUGAGAGAGGAGGCUAUUCUGGACAGGGCAGGUACUUUUGUGUAGUUCCUGUCCCUGGAAGUGAGGACGGAGAUAAUAGUAACAUAAUAUUCAGUGCGGUCUAAUUUGAGUAUAAUCAAGUCUGUUUCUUGUGAGGUUUUCUGUCCUCAGAUACAGAGAGCUGUGGUUCUCAGUCCGUGUCCUGGGGACUCAAAGGGGUGCACAUUUUUGUUUUUUCCAGCUGAUUCAAAUCAUCAACUCUUCAUCAAGUGGUAUUUCUGUAUUCAUUUGUGAUGCUAUCCUUGAUAUGAUCCUGCUAUUGUCACAUGCACAUGUGUGUGUACAUGCAUCUAUCCAAUGUUAUCAUGAUUUGUUAUAAGCGAUAUUCUACUUUAGUAAUCCACAAUGACCUGGUGAUGUUAAUGUCUAAUAAUGACAUUAUCUUCUAAAUUCCUACAGAUACCUUGUAACUGGAGAUUCCUUCAAAACGAUUGCCUGCAGUUACCGUGUAGGGCACUGCAAGGUUGGGUGACCAGGGUCAUCUGGGACUGUCUCCUGGAGGAAUUCAGGUGUGUGAAGGCUACCUGUGUCCUGCAUAACUUCAUGAGGAUGGACACGAGGACCAGGAGGGGAUCUGCAGCUCGCCGCCGCGUGCCAGAGGAGAAGUCUGCUGCUCUGCAGGAUGUUUCAAGGAUGGGGUCAAAUAACGCAGCAAGAGAGGCAAUCCAUGUGCGGGAGAUGUUCACCUCCUACUUCUUCGAAGAGGGUGCUGUUCCCUGGCAACACCAUAGACUACACUAUGCACAACCAAAGGCUCUUUUAAGAGCCAUUCACAUUGCAAUAAGAGUAUUCUUUCAUUUACUUAACUUUGUCAAAUGCAGUUAUUCAAUUCUCAGUUUCUCUCCCUUUGAUUUCUACUUCUCAGGUGAGGUGCUGUUCAGGUGAGGGUGCUGUUCAGGUGAGGGUGCUGUUCAGGUGAGGUGCUGUUCAGGUGAGGGUGCUGUUCAGGUGAGGUGCUGUUCAGGUGAGGGUGCUGUUCAGGUGAGGUGCUGUUCAGGUGAGGGUGCUGUUCAGGUGAGGUGCUGUUCAGGUGAGGGUGCUGUUCAGGUGAGGGUGCUAUUCAGGUGAGGUGCUGUUUAGGUGAGGGUGCUGUUCAGGUGAGGGUGCUGUUCAGGUGAGGGUGCUGUUCAGGUGAGGUGCUGUUCAGGUGAGGUGCUGUUCAGGUGAGGGUGCUGUUCAGGUGAGGGUGCUGUUCAGGUGAGGUGCUGUUCAGGUGAGGGUGCUGUUCAGGUGAGGGUGCUGUUCAGGUGAGGUGCUGUUCAGGUGAGGUGCUGUUCAGGUGAGGGUGCUGUUUAGGUGAGGGUGCUGUUUAGGUGAGGGUGCUGUUUAGGUAAGGGUUUGAUGUCUGUACAAAAACAAAACAGGCUAUUUUAAGUCACCCGUAUUGAAACAAUUUGGAACAAUUAGACACCCUAUAACACACACCUACACACUCAUGUAUCAAUCUGAUUGAUGGAUUGUGUUGUGCAGUAAGCAGGCUCAGGUGUAUAACUGUGGCUCCUUCCACCUUCAAAGAAAGGGCAAGAGGGCCAACCAUGGAGAAUAGUAAGACACUUCAUUAUUUCUAUAACUACGCUAUGUUGUUUGUCCUCGUGUGUCUGGGCAUGUUUCUCAGCAUAAAGUACUCUGCAGCCACUUCGUGUGGUGUGGACACCAGGUGAGGCCACACACAGAUUCCUGUUGAACACUGUGGCUUUAACUACCUUAUUUUCUCAAUAACACUCUCCUUCACUUCAUCCCUCUUUUCCCUAAAUCCUCUAGGUUAUAUCAGCUGUGUCGGUGAACCCCUCCCACAUCUGAUCUGGCUGACAGAGAGGGCACAGCAUAUUCAGAGGUAUGAUUUGAUAUGAGGAUGCCAACCCCCAGUCCCGUCAUCGCCACUUCACCCGCUCUUAAGAUAACCCUCGGGCCGACGAGAGACACUUAUGUAAUUGUGAUGAACUGAGAGAAUAUUAGGGUAGCACUGUGAUUCAUUAAUCAUAUGCUGCCUUCCCCGCUCCUCUGUUCUUACCUCUUUCCCUCCCUCUCUCUUUUACACCUCCCUCGCCACCUCUCGCUUCCUCUGUUUUUAUACUGCACAUCAGAUGUGCAUUGAAGUAAAGAUUGAACUUAUAUUCAAAAUAUUACAAUUAUAAUAUUUGGAUAAUGAAAUUCUUUCAAUAAAGCAUUUGACAUUC